rnacentral:rRNA from 1 species
AGAGUUUGAUCCUGGCUCAGGAUGAACGCUAGCGGCAGGCUUAACACAUGCAAGUCGAGGGGUAACAGGGUGCUUGCACCGCUGACGACCGGCGCACGGGUGCGUAACGCGUAUACAAUCUACCUUGUACUAGGGGAUAGCCUUUAGAAAUGAAGAUUAAUACCCUAUAGUCUAUUUGAAUGGCAUCAUUUAAAUAGUAAAGGUUACGGUACAAGAUGAGUAUGCGUCCUAUUAGUUUGUUGGUAAGGUAACGGCUUACCAAGACUACGAUAGGUAGGGGCCCUGAGAGGGGGAUCCCCCACACUGGUACUGAGACACGGACCAGACUCCUACGGGAGGCAGCAGUGAGGAAUAUUGGGCAAUGGAGGCAACUCUGACCCAGCCAUGCCGCGUGCAGGAAGACUGCCCUAUGGGUUGUAAACUGCUUUUAUACAGGAAGAAACACUCCCUCGUGAGGGAGCUUGACGGUACUGUAAGAAUAAGGACCGGCUAACUCCGUGCCAGCAGCCGCGGUAAUACGGAGGGUCCGAGCGUUAUCCGGAAUCAUUGGGUUUAAAGGGUCCGCAGGCGGUCUUUUAAGUCAGAGGUGAAAUCCUACAGCUCAACUGUAGAACGGCCUUUGAUACUGAAAGACUUGAGUUAUUAUGAAGUGGUUAGAAUGUGUGGUGUAGCGGUGAAAUGCAUAGAUAUCACACAGAAUACCGAUUGCGAAGGCAGAUCACUAAUAAUAUACUGACGCUCAUGGACGAAAGCGUGGGGAGCGAACAGGAUUAGAUACCCUGGUAGUCCACGCC